GGCCCUUUGACAUUUUGGCCUGAUUUUCAACUAAGUAUGAAGAAAUUUCUUGAUUGGGCUGGAUUUUGGUUAUUGGGCCUCGCCUUCAAGAAUUUGGGCUCGUGAUCCAUCUCCUACCAAAAUUGGGUCGUUGACGCUCGUAAUGGGGAUCCAAUGCGUUUUGGCUGCAAGAUUUGGUUUCUUGGACCAAGAUUUCCAAGAUUUGAAAUCUUGAUUUUCUUGAUUCUUGAAAUCUCUUCGAACAGCAAAAUUGGGCCAAGAUUCGAUUUCUUGAUUUUCUUGAAAACAAGAAAGUGAAUCUUGAUUUUCUUGUUCUCUCGUGUAUGCAUCUAAGGCCUUGCUAACAAGCUCUUGAAUGGUCUCAUUUAGUUUGGACCGCAUUUGUCGGGCCUUUGAUCUCGUU
rnacentral:lncRNA from 1 species